AUUGAACGCUGGCGGCAGGCCUAACACAUGCAAGUCGAGCGAGUGGCGGACGGGUGAGUAAUGCCUGGGUAACCGCCUGAUGGAGGGGGAUAACCACUGGAAACGGUAGCUAAUACCGCAUAUUACUAGAUUUUCCCAGAUGGGUUUAGGUUGUGGGUGGGGUAACGGCUCACCUAGGCGACGAUCCCUAGCUGGGUUGCCAGGGUGACCAGCCACACUGGAACUGGAACACGGUCCAAACUCCUACGGGGGGCGGCAGUGGGGAAUAUUGCACAAUGGGGGCAAGCCUGAUGCCGCCAUGCCGCGGGUGGGAGGAAGGCCUUCGGGUUGUAAAGCACUUUCGGCGGGGAGGCGUUACCCACAGAAAAAGCACCGGCUAACUCCGUGCCAGCCGCCGCGGUAAUUC
rnacentral:rRNA from 1 species